GUGAGAAUGUUGGCAUGAGUAGCGAGAUGUGGGUGAGAAUCCCACAGGCCGUAAACCCAAGGUUUCCAGGGGAAGGUUCGUCCGCCCUGGGUUAGUCGGGACCUAAGCUGAGGCCGAAAGGCGUAGGUGAUGGACAACAGGUUGAUAUUCCUGUACUACCGAUAACCGUUUGAGAGAAGGGAUGACACAGUAGGAUAAGCUAAGCACACUGUUGGUUAUGUGUGCCCAAGCAUUGAGGCAGUCAAAGUAGGCAAAUCCGCUUUGAUAAUGCUGGGAUGUGAUGGGGAGCGAAAUUUAGUAGCGAAGUAGCUGAUUUCACACUGUCAAGAAAAGUCUCUAUCGAGGUUAAAGGUACCCGUACCGCAAACCGACACAGGUGGGUGAGGAGAGUAUCCUAAGGCCAGCGAGAGAACUGUUGUUAAGGAACUCGGCAAAAUGACCCCGUAACUUAGGGAUAAGGGGUGCCACCAUCAGGUGGCCGCAGAGAAUAGGCCCAAGCGACUGUUUACCAAAAACAUAGGUUUCUGCUAAGUCGCAAGACGAUGUAUAGGAGCUGACGCCUGCCCGGUGCUGGAAGGUUAAGGGGAUCUGUUAGAGCAAUCGAAGCAGUGAACUUAAGCCCCAGUAAACGGCGGCCGUAACUAUAACGGUCCUAAGGUAGCGAAAUUCCUUGUCGGGUAAGUUCCGACCCGCACGAAAGGCGUAACGAUUUGGGCACUGUCUCA
rnacentral:rRNA from 1 species